GGAGCCAAUAUUGCCAACUAUGUAGCUCGAAAAGUUGUGGAGGCAGGCAGGCUUUUGGAUCCCGUAAGAGUGGUGGCACAAGUCCUCAUGUACCCUUUCUUCAUUGGGAGUGUUCCCACACAUUUUGAGAUUAAACUGGCUAACUCUUACCUCCAGAGCCGGCCCUGGGCAAGGGCCACCAAGGCAACCGCCCAGGACCCACAGUUGAGAGGGGCCCACAUUUUUUUAUAAUUAAGUUUAUGUAUUUAUGUGUAUAAAAAAAAUAAAAUAAUAAAAAGAUUAGGGAUAUUAUGCAUUGAAAAUGAUAUGUUAUAAAAUAUUAAAUAUAAUAGUAUAAUUGAUGAUUUUGCAUCUAAAAGUGUAACAAGAAGACAUUUUAAAUAAUAUUUUUGGUUUAGAUUUCAUUGGGCAAAACUAAAGAAAUACCCAUUGUAGUUGGUAGGUUUUACUGAUUACAACAUAUAUUGAACUUUUAAUUUUUCAAAUUACACCACUAAACUAAUUAUUAUUUUAAAAUUGGGUCAUUCUGUUUAAAAAAAUAAACGGACCUUAAUUUUUUAUCUACAACCCUAAUUAAUUAACCACUGUAGUUGGCACAUUUUACUGAUUACACCAUUGAACUUUUAAUUUUUCAAAUUAACCCAUCAAACUAAUUAAAAAUAAUUAUUUUACAUAUUUUUAAAAAUAAUUAUUAUUUUAAGUAAAAAAAUAUUAGAAACUUUUUUUUCUUCAUAAAAUGAGUAGAGUUUCAUAAAAUAUAGAUUCAAAAAAAUUAAAGUGAUUUUAAAUUAAAUUAAUGUCUACUUAAUUUUUUAACAGAAUGACCCAUUCUUAAUAUUAGAAUUUUUUUAAAAAAACUAAAAAUAUAAAUUAAAAUAAAAAAAUAGUAAAAGAUAAAUAAAAAAACUGUUCAAUUUUUUCAGAAAAGAAAUUAUUAAUUUUUAUAAAUAAAUAUUAUUUUCAAGAAAAAAAUUGGAAAAUUCUUCAUAUUUUAAAAAAAUGAGUAAAAUUUUAUAAAAUAUAGAUUCAAAAAAUAAAUGUUAUUUUCAAAAGAAAAAAAAAUUAAAAUCAAUAAGGUUUCAUAAAAUUUUAAUUUUUUAAAAUCUAUAUUUUAUGAAACUUUACUCAUUUUAUGGAAAAAAAAUUAAAGUUUCUAAUAUUUUUUUACUGAAAAUAAUAAUUGUUUUUAAAAAUAUUUAAAAUAAUCAUUUUUUUAAUUCGUUUAAUGGGGUAAUCUGAAAAAUUAAAAGUUCAAUAGUGUAAUCAGUAAAAGGUGCCAACUACAGUGGGUAAUUCAUUAGUUUUGUAGAUAAAAAAUUAACGUUCGUUUAUUAUUUUUUUAACAGAAUAACCCAAUUUCAAAAUAAUAAUUAGUUUAGUGGGGUAAUUUGAAAAAUUAAAAGUUCAAUUCUGUAAUCUGUAAAACUUACCAACUACAGUUGGUAUUUCAUUAGUUUGACAGAUUUCAUUGAUAUUUUUAUUUUGUAGGUACAUGUAAUGAUUCUUUGUUUCGAUAAUAUUUUAAAAUGUUCUUCCUUAUCUUUUGUAAAUUCUUAUAAUUUUAAUAAAAUUAAUUAGUUGAUAAUUUAUUUAUUUUUUUAUUUAAUUUAUAUAAAGGGGCACACUUGAGAAAAUUUGCCCCGGGCUUUAGAAAACCCAGGACCGGCUCUGCUUACCUCUAUGACAAAUCUUCGUCUGUCCUUGCAUGGAGACUCUUCCUGCCUGAGGAUGAUUUCAGU
rnacentral:lncRNA from 1 species